UACGUAGGGGGCUAGCGUUGUCCGGAAUCAUUGGGCGUAAAGAGCGUGUAGGCGGUCCGGUAAGUCCGCUGUGAAAGUCGGGGCUCAACCCUCGAAUGCCGAUGGAUACUGUGAAGCUAGAGUACGGAAGAGGCGAGUGGAAUUCCUGGUGUAGCGGUGGAAUGCGCAGAUAUCAGGAGGAACACCAAUAGCGAAGGCAGCUCGCUGGGACGUUACUGACACUGAGGCGCGAAAGCGUGGGGAGCGAACAGG
rnacentral:rRNA from 1 species